rnacentral:lncRNA from 1 species
GACAGACUUGGAAAAGGUUUCCCCUUGGACUUCCGGCUUAGGCCAGCAGCAGGCAAGGGAUGCAGGCUGUGUGUUACCCAGGAGGCUAGACAAGCAUUUCCUCUGGCAACCCAAUCUUUCUCACAGAAAGGAACCUCCGCGGGUGCUAGGCAGGACUCUCCAUGCAAGGCCUGGCUGGUGGCGCUCCCCUCGCCAGGAUUGGGUUCCAUCAUGCAUCUGAGAUAAAGGAGGGGCUUUUCACUCUGCCCAGGGUUACUAGGAGGUUUUUGCAAGGCGGCAUGUUUGCGUGACUUCCUGUGGGCCUCACCCUUCUCAUCUGUCCACAUGUAAAUGGCUGUUCGUCAGAGAAAAACAGAUAGGAGCCCAGAGGCAGGUUGUGCGUCCUAUUGGCAAGGGCAGACGCUUGCUUGGUGUUCCACACUCCUACACAAUCCCCACAGACACACCUAAGCCUGAGAGUCCCGCCCACCUUCUUGUAAGGAAGUCAAUCUCCAAUCAGUCCUGACAGAACAGUCCACUUGCAGAGCUCACAGGCUUUCCUGGGCUGACAACUGAGUCCUGAAGCCACGGAGGGACAGGACCCAGAGGCUAGAGAGGACAGCUCAUAACUGACGGUGACACCGACAGAAACAGCGUGGAAGAUUCCAUACAUAACAAAGUGGUUAUGAGAGAACCUCGCAGGCGGGGUUGACCCACCGCUCACAAACCAUGAAGAGAUUUAGUGCAACUCCUUGUGGCCAUUGCCUUGUGAUGCUUCUGGAGCAGCGUUCAAAGUGUUUCCAAAAGAGGAGCUUGCUAAUAUCUGGAGCAGCCAGGGCUUCGUCAGAAACAAAACCCACCACUUCCCAGGACGGCGCCUUUGAAGAAGGCCUACUUAUUUGUGCCUAGGCGUCAGGAGGAUUGUCAAACAGCCGCAUCGGCUUCUAACUCUGUCCUCUUUACCAAAAGCUAGCACUGCACGGAGAGGAAGAACCUGGGCAGAGAUACAGAAGAGGGACAAAGUGGAAGAAGAGCAGCUGGGGUGUGACAUCCUCUGCAAAACAAUAUAAUCCCACCUACAGAGCCUCUGUAGUCAAUGUCCAACUCAAGACUGACGUUGGAGCAGAAGAGUUUGGAAAAACCCAUGCCAACUCUUUGGUCAGCUUUUCUCUGAAGCUCUCUCCGGCCUAGUCCAAACUGACAGCUUGGGACCUGGAGUGGGACCUGGAGUGGUAAGCCAACUGACUCAAAUCGAGUUCUAAUUCAACUCAACAAAAGUGCCUGCCUUGUAUAA